rnacentral:tRNA from 1 species
CAAAGAAUAGUUUAUAAAAAUAAUAAUUUUGGAGAUUAUAGAUAAAGAAAUACUUUUUCUUUGA